AUUGAACGCUAGCGGGAUGCCUUACACAUGCAAGUCGAACGGAGUGGCGAACGGGUGAGUAAUUUAUCGGAACGUGCCCAGUAGCGGGGGAUAACUACGCGAAAGCGUAGCUAAUACCGCAUACUAUAGGAGCGGACGUUAUCGGAGUGGCUAGUUGGUGGGGUAAAGGCCCACCAAGGCGACGAUCCGUAGCUGGUUUGCGAGGACCACCAGCCACACUGGGACUGAGCCACGGCCCAUACUCCUACGGUAGGCAGCAGUGGGGAAUGUUGGACAAGGGGGGAAACCCUGAUCCAUCCAUCCCGCGUGUGCGAUGAAGGCCUUCGGGUUGUAAAGCACUUUUGGCAGGAACGCGGUACCUGCAGAAUAAGCACCGGCUAACUACGUGCCAGCAGCCGCGGUAAUUC
rnacentral:rRNA from 1 species